rnacentral:rRNA from 1 species
UAAUACAGAGGUGGCAAACGUUGUUCGGAUUUACUGGGCGUAAAGGGUCCGCAGGCGGUCUUGUGUGUCAGAUGUGAAAGCCCACGGCUUAACCGUGGAAUUGCAUUUGAAACUGCAAGACUAGAGUACUGGAGGGGAGAAGGGAACACUUGGUGUAGCGGUGAAAUGCGUAGAUAUCAAGUGGAACACCGGCGGCGAAGGCGCUUCUCUGGACAGAUACUGACGCUCAUGGACGAAAGUUAGGGUAGCGAAAGGGAUUAGAUACCCCUGUAGUCCUAACCGUAAACGGUGUGCACUAGGCGUGGGAGGCUUUACCCCCUUCCGUGCCUGAGCUAACGCAUUAAGUGCACCGCCUGGGGAAUACGGUCGCAAGACUA